AUGAACGCUGGCGGCGUGCUUAACACAUGCAAGUCGAACGAGAAGUGAAGACGGAAACCUUCGGGCGGAAGGCUUUAUUUCGAGUGGCGGACGGGUGAGUAACGCGUGGGUAACCUGCCUCAUACAGGGCGAUAACAGUUGGAAACGACUGUUAAUACCGCAUAAGACCACAGCACCGCAUGGUGCGGGGGUAAAAACUCCGGUGGUAUGAGAUGGACCCGCGUUCGAUUAGCCAGUUGGCGGGGUAACGGCCCACCAAAGCGACGAUCGAUAGCCGAUCUGAGAGGAUGACCGGCCACAUUGGGACUGAGACACGGCCCAAACUCCUACGGGAGGCAGCAGUGGGGAAUAUUGCACAAUGGGGGAAACCCUGAUGCAGCGACGCCGCGUGAGUGAAGAAGUAUUUCGGUAUGUAAAGCUCUAUCAGCAGGGAAGAAAAUGACGGUACCUGAGUAAGAAGCCCCGGCUAACUACGUG
rnacentral:rRNA from 1 species